CUAUGGAUGUGGAAGACUCCAGCCGCUGCUAUCACAUGGGCAUGGGAGGAGUGCGGGGCCAGGCUGGGCUUGUACCGGGGCCACCGUGUGCCAGGACCACGUCAGUAUGGGACGUUACACAGCAUGGCCCCUAAAAUGCCAGGGCAGUAUAAAUACCCCGCGGACAGGCAAAGAGCAAUAUACUGUGCGAAACGUCCGUAGCCGCCAUCCAUCUGCAGGAGCCUGUCCGCCCCAGAACCCCACCUGUUCGUCCGACAUGAAGGAUUGAAUAAAAAGAAACACUUUGAACGCUUCGCGAUCUAUUGAUAAAGGUCUCAUAUGACCGAAACGUCUGAAACAUUGCAACUCUCCAUAUGACUCACGGCGCAACAUUAUUUUCAUUGAAACGGAGCAAUUAACGCCCGACUGGGGCAGUAUCUUGUAAUUUUACCAGCAGAAUCAUUUACUUGCUUAUUAUUGCAAAUGUUGCUGGCACCUACUUCACAGUUUGAAGUGUAUGAUUCACAAUAAACCCACUUGGCAUAUCUAAACUCUCAAGAGUGUGCGUGGUUUUCUCUACAAA